rnacentral:lncRNA from 1 species
AUUCUGUUAUACCCUCUUGAGUUUGGGUCUUUGGCAAUGUCCCUCUAGCUAUCAAUAGAUUGGCCUGAAGUUCCAUUGUUCCUUUCUACCUGAUCUUCAUAUAGUUCUGUGGUCUGGUGACAUGCUCUUCUAUUUCUGUAACAGAUGUAGACUGGCUCUGAUUGUGUCUAACAGGGGACUUUGAAUGUGAUGGUGGUUUUUAUGUCCCUUUUUUAUAGGGGUACAAUUCCAGUAUCUUUCCCUGACAGAUGAUAGGGGACAAUACAGUCAGUUUCAUACAUAAGAAAUUUCUGUUUGUUCCACUUAUGUAUUUUACACAAAGCUUUCUAAAAGAGAGGGGAUUCAAAACACCAUAAUGCAGUCUUUUAUAUUCUUAGGGAAACUUUAAUUAGUAUGCAUAGAAAAAGACAUGAAGAAUUCAUAAUGUUCUUGUUCCCCUGGUUUGUUUUAGGAUGGAUGCGUACUUGUUCUUUCCCUGAGAACAUUCAAAUUCUCAGUUCAAGUUUGGGCAAGUUGAUCCGUUGGGUUACUUGUUAAACAGAUUGCUAACAUGGCUGAGCAGAACAGAGAAAGUGGUUUGGUGGGCAAUGGAGAUGACGAGGUUUGAGUUCCUGUGGCUUGGAGUCUCAUGGAAAGAUAUCAACAUUUGAAACUCAGCAUGAUUGGGUCAGCAGAAGAAAAAAUUUUCCUGCAGCAGCAAGGAGUCUUCAGAAUCAGGCAGCCUUCAAAAAUUUCCACUCCAGUAGUUCCUCUUAAGAGUUCACGGAGCCAGAAACACCAGGCAAAUGUGGAGGAAUAAAGCCUUCAGCUAUAAGCAAGUCCCACUUCUUGAGAAGAGCAGGUUGGUUCAGUCAUGAGAGAGAUGCUGAGAUGGGCAUCAACACAGUGUACUCUAUGCUGUAGGUUUGGCGGUACUACUGCCUGCACGUCAUAGGGAUGCAGAAGCUGUUUGUGUAUGGUUCAGCUGCUCCCUUGGGUCUGCUGCGAGGGCAUCAGUGCCUGGAAAAGUGAUGGGCAAAAGAGGUGAUGAAGGACUGAAGCAGAUCCACCAGAUCCACCAGAUCCACCUGCCCGUGCUCACAGACCCAUCCUGAAAAUCUAUCUCAGCCUAUUUAGUGGGGCCAUAAGGCCUGCUAGUGUCUGUGAUUGCUCAUUAGCUUAUAUUCAUGACAGCUAUUCCUAAGGAAGGGGACCUGUAGCCUCUGCUUUUAGCAUGCAAAUUAAGCAAAGUUUGGAGUUACUACACAAAAUCACCAAAUGCCAGGCUUUCAUUACUGCACUCGGCUUUUCAGAAUACAGUUUUAAUUGAACUAAUUAUCACAGGC